CGAUCUCCCCGGCUGAAGACAGCCUAACACAAGAGGAGUCCAUCAUUGUCAUCCAGUCCAUCCUCCGUGGAUACCUGGCCCAGGCCAGGGUCAUUGCCAACUGCUGCCAAGAGAAAACCGGGCCCUCUCAGAGGGAAGCAGUUUCAGUGACACCUUCAGAAUCUGCCUCCCCACCCUCCCUCGAAGCUUCUCCUGGUAAUUUCAUUCACUUGGUUCUGCCACAAAGGGGAGGCGGCCCUCCGAGGGUUAAGCCAAAAGAAGGCUGAGUCCUCAGUGGCAUGUCCCCAUGUCCCCAGCGUGAGCUGCCUCGACCUACGUUCAUCCCUUAUGGAGGAGACUGAGACUCACUCUCCUCCAGUCCUCCUGGGACCACAGCUG
rnacentral:lncRNA from 1 species